GUUGGACGCACCUCUAGUGUACCAGUUAUCGUGCCAACGGUAGCGCUGGGUAGCUACGUGCGGAAGGGAGAAACGCUGAAGGCAUCUAAGCGUGAAACCCUCCCCGAGAUGAGAUCUCCCGAGCCGUAAGGCUCCUGAAGGCUCCUGGAAGACUACCAGGUGAUAGGCCAGAUGUGUAAGGAUGGUGACAUCCUCAGCUAACUGGUACUAAUCAGCCGUGAGGCUUGACCAU
rnacentral:rRNA from 1 species